UAUCAAUAAGCGGAGGAAAAGAAACCAACAGGGAUUGCCCCAGUAACGGCGAGUGAAGCGGCAACAGCUCAAAUUUGAAAUCCGGCCCCCCCGCCGGGGCCCGAGUUGUAAUUUGCAGAGGACGCUUUUGGCGCGGCGCCUUCCGAGUUCCCUGGAACGGGACGCCAUAGAGGGUGAGAGCCCCGUCUGGUCGGACGCCAAGCCUCUGUAAAGCUCCUUCGACGAGUCGAGUAGUUUGGGAAUGCUGCUCAAAAUGGGAGGUAUAUGUCUUCUAAAGCUAAAUACUGGCCAGAGACCGAUAGCGCACAAGUAGAGUGAUCGAAAGAUGAAAAGCACUUUGAAAAGAGAGUUAAACAGUACGUGAAAUUGUUGAAAGGGAAGCGCUUGUGACCAGACUCGGGCGCGGGGAAUCACCCGGCGUUCUCGCCGGUGCACUUCGCCGCGCCCGGGCCAGCAUCAGUUCGCGGCGGGGGACAAAGGCGCCGGGAACGUGGCUCCCCCGGGAGUGUUAUAGCCCGGCGCGCAAUGCCCCGCGGCGGACUGAGGUUCGCGCGUCCGCAAGGAUGCUGGCGUAAUGGUCACCAGUGACCCGUCUUGAAACACGGACCAAGGAGUCGUCCUCGUAUGCGAGUGUUCGGGUGCCAAACCCCUACGCGCAAUGAAAGUGAACGCAGGUGAGAGCCACGGCGCAUCAUCGACCGAUCCUGAUGUCCUCGGAUGGAUUUGAGUAAGAGCAUACGGGGCCGGACCCGAAAGAAGGUGAACUAUGCCUGUGUAGGGUGAAGCCAGAGGAAACUCUGGUGGAGGCUCGCAGCGGUUCUGACGUGCAAAUCGAUCGUCAAACAUGGGCAUGGGGGCGAAAGACUAAUCGAACCUUCUAGUAGCUGGUUUC
rnacentral:rRNA from 1 species